GGCGUUAAGUUGCAGGGUAUAGACCCGAAACCCGGUGAUCUAGCCAUGGGCAGGUUGAAGGUUGGGUAACACUAACUGGAGGACCGAACCGACUAAUGUUGAAAAAUUAGCGGAUGACCUGUGGCUGGGGGUGAAAGGCCAAUCAAACCGGGAGAUAGCUGGUUCUCCCCGAAAGCUAUUUAGGUAGCGCCUCGUGAAUUCAUCUCCGGGGGUAGAGCACUGUUUCGGCUAGGGGGCCAUCCCGGCUUACCAACCCGAUGCAAACUGCGAAUACCGGAGAAUGUUAUCACGGGAGACACACGGCGGGUGCUAACGUCCGUCGUGAAGAGGGAAACAACCCAGACCGCCAGCUAAGGUCCCAAAGUCAUGGUUAAGUGGGAAACGAUGUGGGAAGGCCCAGACAGCCAGGAUGUUGGCUUAGAAGCAGCCAUCAUUUAAAGAAAGCGUAAUAGCUCACUGGUCGAGUCGGCCUGCGCGGAAGAUGUAACGGGGCUAAACCAUGCACCGAAGCUGCGGCAGCGACGCUGAUGCGUUGUUGGGUAGGGGAGCGUUCUGUAAGCCUGCGAAGGUGGCCUGUGAGGGUUGCUGGAGGUAUCAGAAGUGCGAAUGCUGACAUAAGUAACGAUAAAGCGGGUGAAAAGCCCGCUCGCCGGAAGACCAAGGGUUCCUGUCCAACGUUAAUCGGGGCAGGGUGAGUCGACCCCUAAGGCGAGGCCGAAAGGCGUAGUCGAUGGGAAACGGGUUAAUAUUCCCGUACUUGGUGUUACUGCGAAGGGGGGACGGAGAAGGCUAUGUUGGCCGGGCGACGGUU
rnacentral:rRNA from 2 species